rnacentral:lncRNA from 1 species
ACUUAAUAUCAAGCGAAUGUCAUGGGGGUUAAACCGUUCAGGGCAUUCUGGACAACUGAUGUUAACUCUACUUUCAGAGAUUUCUAUCCUUAGGUAUUGUCGUAAGCAAUCCACACAAGAUCUAUGACGACAUGUCAUGAUAUCAGGAAAUCUGUCUUGAGAAAGCCGUAAAAGGCACAGAGGACAGUCCAUAAAGUCUCCAGUUUGUUUCCAUAUGGAAGUCAAUCCAUUGUUAGAAGAGGUAUUUGUCGAGAAAAUGGAGUUCUUAUCAGCACACAUUUCAGAAUGUAUCCUCUCAAUACUUGCAAUUGCUUCCAUCCCACCAUUGAGCUCCCUUGAUUUUCGUUUGCUGUCCAUCUUCCUCCGAAAACGAGAGCCUAUUGAAAAUCUUCUCUGUUUGGGUGCCUUUUUGACAGAAGGCAAGCUCACAGAGGAAGUAGAAGGUUGACGAUCUCCCUCUGAACCCAUUUGCUGAUGUAAACUCAUGUCUAAAAUGCUCAUCAGAACUGAGUCAGAGUCAUUUUAAAAAUAAAACUUAUUUCUUGUUUUUGCGUUCAGAUGAAGUCAUGAUGUAAAAAAGAUCCCAUUGGCUUCUUCAGAGAACUUGAAGAAGUUCAAGAGAAGACUAUCUGUCUUCAGGGGCAUUGGGCGAGCAGGUCCAUCCUGCGGAGGCAGAAAGAGGAGGAAGAACAGAGGAGGCCAGCCCUUCAGCAUGCCCCUUCUCAGCUAGGGCGAGAGCUGCCGGUGAACGGNNNNNNNNNNUUGCCAGUGAGCAAGAGAGGGAGAGCGAGCCGCUGCUUUCCGGAACUGGUGAACGGUUGCCAGUGAGCAAGAGAGGGAGAGCGAGCCGCUGCUUUCCGGAACUCCACUUAGUGACUCCUUCCGGACUGACCUUCGCAGCCCGGAACCAACACAGCAAGUGUCUGAAGAGAAGGAAAUUAAAUUUAAGACAUUGUUAUAUCAGCUUAUGGAAGAGCAAAAAAGCCAAAAAAACAGACAAGGAGACACACCACAGACCAGUGCCUGCAAGGAGCCAUUGCUCCUUGGGAAUGGAGAGACAGCAGGCAGGUGAAGCUGCCAUUAUUGGAGUUGUAAACUGGCAUUGCUAGAAAACUAGUGCUGUGCUGCAGACUCAGACCAUGAAGAAAGGAGCUGUUGAUAUCAUCCAGACGAUAGUCCCAGAUGAAGGGACUGUCCCGAGAGAAGAGUUGGCCUUGCCAGGGAAGGUAAGUUGGCCUUCACAUUUUCCAAGGUAUUUCCAAGGGUCUUUACAAUCCCUCUAUUUUUAGUAGAUGCCAUAUUGUAAUAAUAAAAGCAAUCAUGUAUACCCA